rnacentral:lncRNA from 1 species
AGAGAGAGAGAGAGAGAGAGAGAGAGAGAGAGAGAGAGAGAGAGAGAGGGGUUUAAGUAGAACACAGUGAGGGAUUGGUGAGUUAAUGGAGGAGGGGCGCUCUCGAAUUUGUAAAAGGGGUGAGUGAAUUACUGUGGAUGAAAAGCAGGGGAGAGAUUGGAACAGGGGUCACGAGAGAACAGCCAAUUGAGAGAGUAUUGAUUAGAGGAUGGACCCCUCC